rnacentral:rRNA from 1 species
UACGUAGGGGGCGAGCGUUGUCCGGAAUUACUGGGCGUAAAGAGCGUGUAGGCGGAUAUUUAAGUCAGGUGUGUAAACUAUCGGCUCAACCGGUAGAUUGCAUUUGAUACUGGGUAUCUUGAGGGUAUGAGAGGGAAGUGGAAUUCCUAGUGUAGCGGUGAAAUGCGUAGAUAUUAGGAGGAACACCAGUGGCGAAGGCGACUUCCUGGCAUACAACUGACGCUGAGACGCGAAAGCGUGGGGAG